ACUUAAAUUGAAGAGUUUGAUCAUGGCUCAGAUUGAACGCUGGCGGCAGGCCUAACACAUGCAAGUCGAGCGGUAGCACAGAGAGCUUGCUCUCGGGUGACGAGCGGCGGACGGGUGAGUAAUGUCUGGGAAACUGCCUGAUGGAGGGGGAUAACUACUGGAAACGGUAGCUAAUACCGCAUAAUGUCGCAAGACCAAAGUGGGGGACCUUCGGGCCUCAUGCCAUCAGAUGUGCCCAGAUGGGAUUAGCUAGUAGGUGGGGUAACGGCUCACCUAGGCGACGAUCCCUAGCUGGUCUGAGAGGAUGACCAGCCACACUGGAACUGAGACACGGUCCAGACUCCUACGGGAGGCAGCAGUGGGGAAUAUUGCACAAUGGGCGCAAGCCUGAUGCAGCCAUGCCGCGUGUGUGAAGAAGGCCUUCGGGUUGUAAAGCACUUUCAGCGGGGAGGUCGGGG
rnacentral:rRNA from 1 species